AGGAAGACGCAGUGAACGAAACAUCUAAGUAGCUGCAGGAAGAGAAAGCAAAAGCGAUUGCCUGAGUAGCGGCGAGCGAAAGGGCAAGAGGGCAAACCGAGAAGUUUACUUCUCGGGGUUGUAGGACUGCGAUGUGGACUUAAAGAUUAUAGAAGAAGACCUUGGGAAAGGUUGCCAGAGA
rnacentral:rRNA from 1 species